rnacentral:rRNA from 1 species
AGUGAACGCUGGCGGUAGGCCUAACACAUGCAAGUCGAACGGCAGCACAGUAAGAGCUUGCUCUUACGGGUGGCGAGUGGCGGACGGGUGAGGAAUACAUCGGAAUCUACUUUUUCGUGGGGGAUAACGUAGGGAAACUUACGCUAAUACCGCAUACGACCUUCGGGUGAAAGCAGGGGAUCUUCGGACCUUGCGCGAUUGAAUGAGCCGAUGUCGGAUUAGCUAGUUGGCGGGGUAAAGGCCCACCAAGGCGACGAUCCGUAGCUGGUCUGAGAGGAUGAUCAGCCACACUGGAACUGAGACACGGUCCAGACUCCUACGGGAGGCAGCAGUGGGGGAUAUUGGACAAUGGGCGCAAGCCUGAUCCAGCCAUACCGCGUGGGUGAAGAAGGCCUUCGGGUUGUAAAGCCCUUUUGUUGGGAAAGAAAAGCAGCAGGUUAAUACCCCGCUGUUCUGACGGUACCCAAAGAAUAAGCACCGGCUAACUUCGUG